rnacentral:ncRNA from 1 species
AGAUAGAUAGGUUUGGUCCUGGUCUUUACACAUGCAAGCAUCCCCACCCCAGUGAAAAAUGCCCUCUACAUCACCCGGAUCAAAAGGAGCAAGUAUCAAGCAUGCACAAAUGCAGCUCAAAAUACUUUGCUCAACCACACCCCCACGGGAAACAGCAGUGAUAAAUAUUUAGUAACAAAUGAAUGUUUAAGCUAUACUGAUAUAUAGGGUUGGUCAAUUUCGUGCCAGCCACUGUGGCCAUACAAUUAACCCAAGCUAAUAGAACUCAGCGUAAAGAGUGUUUAAGAUCUGCCCUCAAUAAAGCUAAACUCCAUUUAAGUUGUAAAAAACUUAGGCUGAAAUAAAACAUACUACGAAUGUGGCUUUAAUAUCCUGAAGACACGACAGCUAAGAUCCAAACUGGGGUUAGAUACCCCACUAUGCUUAGCCCUAAACUAUAAUAGUUAUAUUAACAAACCCAUUCGCCAGAAUACUAGAAGCAAUAGCUUAAAACUCAAAGGACUUGGUGGUGCUUUAUAUCCCUCUAGGGGAGCCUGUUCUAUAAUCUAUAAUAAUCUAUAAACCCCGAUCUACCUCACCACCUCUUGCCCCCAGCCUAUAUACCGCCAUCUUCAGCAAACCCUAAAAAGGUUAUAGAGUAAGCACAAGUAAUACACAUAAAAACAUUAGGUCAAGGUGUAGCUCAUGAGCUGGGAAGAAAUGGGCUACAUUUUCUAUACCCAGAAAAUCUCACGACAACCUUUAUGAAAUCUAAAGAUUCAAGGAGGAUUUAGCAGUAAACCAAGAGUAGAGUGCUUGGUUGAAUAAGGCCAUGAAGCACACACACACUGCCUGUCACCUUUCCAAAUACUAUUCUAGAAAUCCUUUUUACUAAAAUCUCUCUACACACGUAUAGAGGAGAUAAGUUGUAACACGGUAAGCAUACUGGAAAGUGCAUUUGGACAAACCAAAGU